AUUGAACGCUGGCGGAAUGCUUUACACAUGCAAGUCGAACGGCAGCACGGACUUCGGUCUGGUGGCGAGUGGCGAACGGGUGAGUAAUACAUCGGAACGUGCCCAGUCGUGGGGGAUAACGUAGCGAAGUUACGCUAAUACCGCAUACGAUCUCUGGAUGAAAGACGGGGGACCGGCAAGGCCUCGCGCGAUUGGAGCGGCCGAUGUCAGAUUAGGUAGUUGGUGGGGUAAAGGGCCUACCAAGCCGACGAUCUGUAGCUGGUCUGAGAGGACGACCAGCCACACUGGGACUGAGACACGGCCCAGACUCCUACGGGAGGCAGCAGUGGGGAAUUUUGGACAAUGGGCGCAAGCCUGAUCCAGCCAUUCCGCGUGCAGGAUGAAGGCCCUCGGGUUGUAAACUGCUUUUGUACGGAACGAAACGGCGGCCUCUAAUACAGGUUGCUAAUGACGGUACCGUAAGAAUAAGCACCGGCUAACUACGUGCCAGCAGCCG
rnacentral:rRNA from 1 species